rnacentral:rRNA from 1 species
CCUGCCCAGUGAAUAAUUAAACGGCCGCGGUACCCUAACCGUGCAAAGGUAGCGUAAUCAUUUGUCUAUUAAUUGUAGACCCGUAUGAAAGGCAUAAUGAGGGUUUAACUGUCUCUUUUAAUAAAUCGAUUAAACUGAUCUCCUAGUCCAAAAGCUAGGAUACCAACAUAAGACCAGAAGACCCUGUGAAACUUUAACUAAAAUAUUAAAGCCCAUAAUAACUACUUUAGGUUGGGGCGACCUUGGAAAACAAAAGAACUUCCAUACACAUAUUAUACAAUAAUAUAUCACCGGCCAACAAGCCUACAAUGACCCAGCACAGCUGAUAAUUGAACCAAGCUACUCCAGGGAUAACAGCGCUAUCUUCUUCAAGAGCCCAUAUCAAAAAGAAGGUUUAC